UGCUUGCACCGGGUGGAUUAGUGGCGAACGGGUGAGUAUCACGUGAGUAACCUGCCCUUGACUCUGGGAUAAGCCUGGGAAACUGGGUCUAAUACCGGAUAUGACCAGUCCUCGCAUGGGGUGCUGGUGGAAAGAUUUUAUCGGUCUUGGAUGGACUCGCGGCCUAUCAGUUUGUUGGUGAGGUAAUGGCUCACCAAGGCGAUGACGGGUAGCCGGCCUGAGAGGGUGACCGGCCACACUGGGACUGAGACACGGCCCAGACUCCUACGGGAGGCAGCAGUGGGGAAUAUUGCACAAUGGGCGCAAGCCUGAUGCAGCGACGCCGCGUGCGGGAUGACGGCCUUCGGGUUGUAAACCGCUUUCAGCAGGGAAGAAGCUUUUGUGACGGUACCUGCAGAAGAAGCGCCGGCUAACUACGUGCCAGCAGCCGCGGUAAUACGUAGGGCGCGAGCGUUAUCCGGAAUUAUUGGGCGUAAAGGGCUCGCAGGCGGUUUGCCACGUCUGCUGUGA
rnacentral:rRNA from 1 species